rnacentral:sRNA from 1 species
UUCCUAUCAUCCUGAUGAUGUUCAGCGU